rnacentral:rRNA from 1 species
GAUCUUAGCGGCGGACGGGUGAGUAAUGCUUAGGAAUCUGCCUAUUAGUGGGGGACAACAUUUCGAAAGGAAUGCUAAUACCGCAUACGUCCUACGGGAGAAAGCAGGGGAUCUUCGGACCUUGCGCUAAUAGAUGAGCCUAAGUCGGAUUAGCUAGUUGGUGGGGUAAAGGCCUACCAAGGCGACGAUCUGUAGCGGGUCUGAGAGGAUGAUCCGCCACACUGGGACUGAGACACGGCCCAGACUCCUACGGGAGGCAGCAGUGGGGAAUAUUGGACAAUGGGCGCAAGCCUGAUCCAGCCAUGCCGCGUGUGUGAAGAAGGCCUUAUGGUUGUAAAGCACUUUAAGCGAGGAGGAGGCUACUGAAGUUAAUACCUUCAGAUAGUGGACGUUACUCGCAGAAUAAGCACCGGCUAACUCUGUGCCAGCAGCCGCGGUAAUACAGAGGGUGCAAGCGUUAAUCGGAUUUACUGGGCGUAAAGCGCGCGUAGGCGGCUAAUUAAGUCAAAUGUGAAAUCCCCGAGCUUAACUUGGGAAUUGCAUUCGAUACUGGUUAGCUAGAGUGUGGGAGAGGAUGGUAGAAUUCCAGGUGUAGCGGUGAAAUGCGUAGAGAUCUGGAGGAAUACCGAUGGCGAAGGCAGCCAUCUGGCCUAACACUGACGCUGAGGUGCGAAAGCAUGGGGAGCAAACAGGAUUAGAUACCCUGGUAGUCCAUGCCGUAAACGAUGUCUACUAGCCGUUGGGGCCUUUGAGGCUUUAGUGGCGCAGCUAACGCGAUAAGUAGACCGCCUGGGGAGUACGGUCGCAAGACUAAAACUCAAAUGAAUUGACGGGGGCCCG